AAGAUUUUAAGUUAAUUAAACUAAUAACCUUCAAAGUUGUAAAUAUAGAAAUUAAAAAUCUUUAAAUCUUA
rnacentral:tRNA from 1 species